rnacentral:rRNA from 1 species
UGGGGAAUUUUGGACAAUGGGCGAAAGCCUGAUCCAGCAAUGCCGCGUGUGUGAAGAAGGCCUUCGGGUUGUAAAGCACUUUUGUCCGGAAAGAAAUCCUUGGCUCUAAUACAGUCGGGGGAUGACGGUACCGGAAGAAUAAGCACCGGCUAACUACGUGCCAGCAGCCGCAGUAAUACGUAGGGUGCAAGCGUUAAUCGGAAUUACUGGGCGUAAAGCGUGCGCAGGCGGUUUGCUAAGACCGAUGUGAAAUCCCCGGGCUCAACCUGGGAACUGCAUUGGUGACUGGCAGGCUAGAGUAUGGCAGAGGGGGGUAGAAUUCCACGUGUAGCAGUGAAAUGCGUAGAGAUGUGGAGGAAUACCGAUGGCGAAGGCAGCCCCCUGGGCCAAUACUGACGCUCAUGCACGAAAGCGUGGGGAGCAAACAGGAUUAGAUACCCUGGUAGUCCACGCCCUAAAACGAUGUCAACUAGUUGUUGGGGAUUCAUUUCCUUAGUAACGUAGCUAACGCGUGAAGUUGACCGCCUGGGGAGUACGGUCGCAAGAUUAAAACUCAAAUGAAUUGACGGGGUCAUAGCUGUUUCCU